AUUCACUCAAUUAUUAACAUUUCACCUACAGAGUUACCCAAUCAAUUUCGGUGAUUUCCCUUUUUAAAAAAAAAUAAUAAUCGACCCCCUAACAUGUGGAUAUUUUACUAAUAAUAUAACUGUACAAACAAAAAUAAAACAAAGACACAAAAUAAAACAAAUGACAGAUCUAGAAUUUCAUAGAAACUGAAACAAACAAAAACCCUCAAAAGUCGAUGCUUCUCAAUGUCGAUUCCAUCCAGAUUAACUCCAAUCAUCAGCAAUCGGCGAGUAGAUCAUAACCCAGCAGCUAAGAAUCGUGAACUUGGACAGGAAGCGUUUAGUCGGAAAAGUUAGAGAGACAUAAAGGUGCACAGGGAGACAGACUUGAUCCAUAGCUGCUCAUUCAGAGAUUUCAUAGCAGAGCUCCACUUCCUUCGGAGCCAUAGCUUUUGGGUACUUAUUCUUUUGUGUACAUAAUUAUGGGCAUAGCGGGGUCCUGUCCCGCUCAGGUGUUAUGUCAUACUCUUCUUAGAGGCUCGUAGUCACGUGUAUAUGAUUAGAUAUGUCUGGCCUUGUCGACCUAUGUUUUGUAUAUCAUUUUGUCGGCCUCGUCGGCCCAUGUACAUUGAUGUGGCAUAAAUGCCUAUGAUGAUAUAAAUGUGCUGUUGUCCAAAUGGGACUAGU